AUGCAUGUACACAAGGCCGACACAGAUCAAAGUGUAAUAUCUAUUCUUAUCAACCUAAUAUCUAAUACGUGUUGUAUUUGGACCCAAGAUAUUAGACUUAUGUUUCCAAGUUAGCGGAGUGCUGGAAGCCUGCUUCACCUCCGCCGCGGGUCGGCCGCGCAUAGCACUAUAUUUGCGAUGGGGCCAUGUUUUU